UUUUCCUGAUCAGCUGUGAGGGUCCUAAGGACAGAGGGAUGUCGUAUGCUGUAAAGCCCUGUGAGGCAAAUUGUGAUUUGUGAUAUUGGGCUUUAUAAAUAAAAUUGAAUUGAAUUGAAUUGAAUUGAAACAGACACGUCUCAUUGUGGUUGUUUUUUUUGUGGUUGUUUUACGUCUCUGUGGUUGUUUCGAGUCGCUUUGAGGUCAUGUUGUGUCUCUUUGAGGUUGUUUUGUCUCUGUGGUUGUUUUGUUUCUCUUUGAGGUCGUGUUGCAUCUCUUUGAGGUUGUGUUGUGUCUCUUUGAGGUCGUUUUGUGUCUCUGUGGUCGUGUUGUGUCUCUUUGAGGUCACGUUGUGUCUCUUUGAGAUCGUUUUGUGUCUCUGUGGUCGUGUUGUGUCUCUUUGAGGUCAUGUUGCAUCUCUUUGAGGUCGUGUUGCAUCUCUUUGAGAUCGUUUUGUGUCUCUGGUCGAGUUGUGUCUCUUUGAGGUCAUGUUGUGUCUCUUUGAGGUCAUGUUGCAUCUCUUUGAGGUCGUGUUGUGUCUCUUUGAGGUCAUGUUGCAUCUCUUUGAGGUCAUGUUGUGUCUCUUUGAGGUCAUGUUGUGUCUCUUUGAGGUCAUGUUGCAUCUCUUUGAAGUCAUGUUGUGUCUCUUUGAGGUCAUGUUGUGUCUAUUUGAGGUCAUGUUGCAUCUCUUUGAGGUCAUGUUGUGUCUCUUUGAGAUCGUUUUGUGUCUCUGGUCGAGUUGUGUCUCUUUGAGGUCAUGUUGUGUCUCUUUGAGGUCAUGUUGCAUCUCUUUGAGGUCGUUUUGUGUCUCUGUGGUCGUGUUGCAUCUCUUUGAGGUCGUUUUGUGUCUCUGUGGUCGUGUUGUGUCUCUUUGAGGUCACGUUGUGUCUCUUUGAGAUCGUUUUGUGUCUCUGUGGUCGUGUUGUGUCUCUUUGAGGUCAUGUUGCAUCUCUUUGAGGUCGUGUUGCAUCUCUUUGAGAUCGUUUUGUGUCUCUGGUCGAGUUGUGUCUCUUUGAGGUCAUGUUGUGUCUCUUUGAGGUCAUGUUGCAUCUCUUUGACGUCGUGUUGUGUCUCUUUGAGGUCAUGUUGCAUCUCUUUGAGGUCGUGUUGUGUCUCUUUGAGAUCGUUUUGUGUCUCUGGUCGAGUUGUGUCUCUUUGAGGUCAUGUUGUGUCUCUUUGAGGUCAUGUUGCAUCUCUUUGAGGUCGAGUUGUGUCUCUGUGGUCGUGUUGCAUCUCUUUGAGGUCGUUUUGUGUCUCUGUGGUCUUGUUGUGUCUCUUUGAGGUCAUGUUGUGUCUCUUUGAGGUCGUUUUGUGUCUCUGUGGUCGUGUUGUGUCUCUUUGAGGUCAUGUUGCAUCUCUUUGAGGUCAUUUUGUGUCUCUGUGGUCGUGUUGUUUCUCUUUGAGGUCAUGUUGUGUCUCUUUGAGGUCAUUUUGUGUCUCUGUGGUCGUGUUGUGGCUCUUUGAGGUCAUGUUGCAUCUCUUUGAGGUCGUGUUGUGUCUCUUUAAGGUCGUGUUGUGUCUCUUUGAGGUCGUGUUGUGUCUCUUUAAGGUCGUGUUGUGUCUCUUUGAGGUCGUGUUGUGUCUCUUUAAGGUCGUGUUGUGUCUCUGUGGUCGAGUUGUGUCUCUUUUAGGUCGUGUUGUGUCUCUUUAAGGUCGUGUUGCAUCUCUUUAAGGUCGUGUUGUGUCUCUUUAAGGUUGUGUUGUGUCUCUUUGAGGUCAUGUUGUGUCUCUUUGAGGUCGUGUUGCAUCUCUUUGAGGUCAUGUUGCAUCUCUUUGAGGUUGUUUUGUCUCUGUGGUUGUUUUGUGUCUCUCUGAGGUCGUGUUGUGUCUCUUUUAGGUCGUGUUGUGUCUCUUUAAGGUCGUGUUGCAUCUCUUUAAGGUCGUGUUGUGUCUCUUUAAGGUUGUGUUGUGUCUCUUUGAGGUCAUGUUGUGUCUCUUUGAGGUCGUGUUGCAUCUCUUUGAGGUCAUGUUGCAUCUCUUUGAGGUUGUUUUGUCUCUGUGGUUGUUUUGUGUCUCUCUGAGGUCGUGUUGUGUCUCUUUGAGGUCAUGUUGCAUCUCUUUGAGGUCAUCUUGUGUCUCUUUGAGGUCGUGUUGUGUCUCUUUGAGGUCGUGUUGUGUCUCUUUGAGGUCGUGUUGUGUCUCUUUAAGGUCGUGUUGUGUCUCUGUGGUUGAGUUGUGUCUCUUUUAGGUCGUGUUGUGUCUCUUUAAGGUCGUGUUGCGUCUCUUUAAGGUCGUGUUGUGUCUCUUUAAGGUCAUGUUGUGUCUCUUUGAGGUCAUGUUGUGUCUCUUUGAGGUCACGUUGCAUCUCUUUGAGGUCACGUUGCAUCUCUUUGAGGUCGUUUUUUCUCUGGUUGUUUUGUGUCUCUUUGAGGUCGUGUUGUGUUUCUUUUAGGUCGUGUUGUGUCUCUUUAAGGUCGUGUUGCAUCUCUUUAAGGUCGUGUUGUGUCUCUUUAAGGUCGUGUUGUGUCUCUUUGAGGUUGUUUUUUCUCUGUGGUUGUUCUGUUUCUCUUUGAGGUCGUGUUGUGUCUCUUUAAGGUUGUGUUGUGUCUCUUUGAGGUUGUUUUUUCUCUGUGGUUGUUCUGUUUCUCUUUAAGGUCGUGUUGCAUCUCUUUGAGGUCGUUUUUGUCUCUCUGUGGUCGUUUUGUUUCUCUUUAAAGUCGUGUUGCAUCUUUUUGAGGUCGUUUUGUGUCUCUUUGAGGUCGUUUUUGUCUCUCUGUGGUUGUUUCGUUUCUCUUUAAGGUUGUGUUGCAUGUCUUUGAGGUCGGGUUGUGUCUGUUUGAGGUUGUUUUUUCUCUGUGGUUGUUCUGUUUCUCUUUGAGGUCGUGUUGCAUCUCUUUGAGGUCGUUUUGUGUCUCUUCAAGGGUUGUCAUGCGUCUCUUUGUGGUAGUUUUACGUUUUUGUGGUUGUGUUGCAUCUAUUUGAGGUUGUGUUGUUUUUUUUCUUUGUUGUGUUCUUGUGUCUCUGAGGUCUUUGAGGUUGUGUUACGUCUCUUUUUUGUCUUUUUGUGUCUCUUCAAGGGUUGUCAUGCAUCUCUUUGAGGUCGUGCUGUGUCUCUUUGAGGUCAUGCUACGUCUCUUUGAGGUUGUGUUGCGUCUCUUUGCGGUCGUGUUGUGUCCUUUCGUGGUUCUAAUGUAGUCGGUCAUGGGAUCGUCAUGCCAACGUACAGCUUUCCCAGAGGUUGUCAUGGCGA